GGACUACACGGGUAUCUAAUCCUGUUUGCUCCCCACGCUUUCGUGCCUCAGUGUCAGUAUGGGUCCAGGGAGACGCCUUCGCCACUGGUGUUCCUUCCGAAAUCUACGCAUUUCACCGCUACGCCGGAAAUUCCACUCCCCUCUACCCUACUCUAGUCAGCCAGUAUGAAAUGACUUCCCCAGGUUAAGCCCGGGACUUUCACAUCUCACUUAACUAACCACCUACGCACCCUUUACGCCCAGUAAUUCCGAUUAACGCUCGCACCCUCUGUAUUACCGCGGCUGCUGGCAC
rnacentral:rRNA from 1 species